rnacentral:rRNA from 1 species
UGCGUAGGCGGCUUUUUAAGUCGGAUGUGAAAUCCCUGAGCUUAACUUAGGAAUUGCAUUCGAUACUGGGAAGCUAGAGUAUGGGAGAGGAUGGUAGAAUUCCAGGUGUAGCGGUGAAAUGCGUAGAGAUCUGGAGGAAUACCGAUGGCGAAGGCAGCUACCUGGGCCAACAUUGACGCUGAGGCGCGAAAGCGUGGGGAGCAAACAGGAUUAGAUACCCUCGUA